rnacentral:lncRNA from 1 species
CAUGGAAUCGAUCACUCCUAGUAAGAGGAGAUCGCAUCCUGUGUAUUCUCAAUCAUAGUAAUUUGAGAAAAUUUUUUUAGCCAAAAGUAGAAAAAAGAUUAGAAAGAGUUUCUAAUAUUUUUUUAUUGGAGCCAUCAUUAGUUAAUUGAGAAUCAAUAUGAAUAUGUAUUUGAGUUUGACAUGAUUCCAUACUCAUGAACAUAUUCAGGGUGCAGGG